AGCUGGGCACCCUAGUAGGGACGGCUCCUCCUAGUGUUCAGUUUGCACCUGGUAAUGUUUUGGCACCAUCCGUCUACUACUAAGAGGGAGGUCUUUUUUCUAGAUGAGGAAACUGAAGCUUGGAAAGAGUCCAGCCCAGAACGAGGCAAAGAAGAGGCAGGAUUGCUGUCUCCCAAUGUGUGAAGCUCCAUCUUAAUAAAGCAGGUGCUGCCUGUGUCAAUACCCUGGUGGCUACCAGCUCAGCCCCUGGAAACUGACUGCCUUGGUUCCUUUCCUGGUUCCACUACAUGCUAGUUGUGAGAUCUUGGGCAAGCUACACCCUCUCUCAGCACCUGUCCUGUAAAAUGGAGACAACGACAGCACCCAUCUCACAGGAUUAUCGCUAGAAAGCACUCACAGUGGUAGCCAGCACCCAACACGUACUAUGACAAAUUUCCAUUGUUGUCGUUAUCAUCCUGUGACCCCUAAAGGAAAAUGCUCCCUGGCCCCAUUGGUAUUGGACUUGGCCAUGACUUACUCUGGCUAAUGGGAUAUGAACCAGUGUGACAUGAACAAAGAUUUGAAAUAUAGUUGGUAGAAAUCUCCUCUAGUGCUUCUGCCAUGACCAUGAGAGGAAUAAGCCCUAGCUAGCUGGCUGAUCCCAGAAGAAUGAGAGCUGUGGAUUGGAGCCACUCCAGCCUAUCUGUGGGAGUGUAGAAGAAAAAGAAAACUGUCCCAACUGACUGCACACCUUUGAGCCUGAAAAUAAUGCUUAUUGUUGUAUGUCAUUGAGUUUUGGGGAUGUUUGUCAUGUAGCAAUUGCUAACUGAUACAAUAUAUAUGUUUACUUUUUUUCUAAACUGUAUGGGAACAUAUAUACAAUAUUGUGCACCUUGCUUUCUUCACAUAAUGUGUAUUGGAAAUUGCUCUGUAUUGGUACAUGUACAUGUCUCUCAAUUUUAAUGGCUGUAUAAUAUUCCAUCUUAUAGUAUGUUCCUUAUUGAUGGAUGGGUAGGUUGCUUCUGUCUUUUCCUAUUAUAGGUUGAAUAUCCCUUAUCUGAUGCUUAGGACCAGAAAUGUUUUGGAGUUCAGAUUUUUUUGGAUUUUGGAAUGUUUGCAUUAUGUACUUACUAGUUGAGCAUCCCUAAUCCAGAAAUCUGAAAUCUGAAAUAUUUCAAUGAGCAUUUACCUUUGAGUGUCAUGUUGGUACUCAAAAAGUUUUGAAUUUUGAAGCAUUAAAUGAUGAUUUUGGAUUUGGGAUGCUCAACUUGUACAACAAUAUUGUAAUGACUCAUAAUUAUAUUGCAGGACAAGUACCUGGAAGGAGAAAUUACCAGGUCAAAGAGUAUGUUCAAAACUGUUGAACCAAUUUACACUCUCACCAUCCGUAUAUGACAACUGUUGUUUCCCCACAAUAGGGAUAUUACUUUGAGGAUGCCUCUUUACUGCAGCAGAAGUUCUGAUUCUUGUUCUACAGCCCCACAGUCUUCAAACCUCACCAUGAGGUUUCAAAAAGCAGUGUUUUCCCAGAGUGGUAUGUGAUUUUAGGUGGUACCAGAGACGAUUUUUAAAAGGUACACAGAAAAGAUACUAAUGAACAAUGAAUCACGCAGUGAUAAAAUGAUUCACUUUCCAAAUCUCUACUGCUCCUCUGAUUCCAUCAGGGAGAAAGUCCCAGCUGGAUGCUGAUGUAUUUUAACACUUCUCUAGCAGUUGCUAAUUUUCCCUUGAACUCAGAGCCUUCGGUGGGCAGUAGUACUUAGCUUUCACUGGAUUCAUUAAAAAAAAUUAAUUUGUUUUUAAUGGACAAAUAAAAACUAAAUAUAUUUAUCAUGUACAAUGUGAUGUUUUGAAAUGUAUAUGUGGUGGAAUGACUAAAUUGAGUUAUUUAACAUACGCAUUACUUCACAUCCUUACCAUUUUUUUAUGGUAAGAACACUUAAAAUCUACUGUCUUAGCAUAAUUUUCAAGAAUACAAUACAUACUUAUGGUCACUAUGUUGUACAAUAGACCUCUUGAACUCAUUCCUCGUAUUUAACUAACAUGUUGUAUCCUUUGACCAAUCCUCAUUUCCUGGUAAUCACUGUAUUCAUUUUUUACCAGUUAAUUUUAUUUACUGGCUAAUGUUCCUGAUUUUUCUUUGUUGGAGAGUGAUUGCAAAUUUCCUUUGAAAAUAAAUUUAUUUCAUUACAAAAAGC
rnacentral:lncRNA from 10 species